AGAGUUUGAUCCUGGCUCAGGAUGAACGCUAGCGGCAGGCUUAAUACAUGCAAGUCGAGGGGCAGCAUGGUGUAGCAAUACACUGAUGGCGACCGGCAAACGGGUGUGGAACACGUACACGACCUUCCUUUAAGCGGGGGAUAGCCCAGAGAAAUUUGGAUUAAUACCCCAUAGAAUAAUGAUGAGGCAUCUUGUUAUUAUUAAAGAUUUAUCACUUGAAGAUGGGUGUGCGUCUGAUUAGGUAGUUGGCGGGGUAACGGCCCACCAAGCCAUCGAUCAGCAACUGGUGUGAGAGCACGACCAGUCACACGGGCACUGAGACACGGGCCCGACUCCUACGGGAGGCAGCAGUAAGGAAUAUUGGUCAAUGGACGCAAGUCUGAACCAGCCAUGCCGCGUGGAGGAUGAAGGUCCUCUGGAUUGUAAACUUCUUUUAUUUGGGAAGAAAUGCAUCUUUUCUAAGGUGUUUGACGGUACCAGAUGAAUAAGCACCGGCUAACUCCGUGCCAGCAGCCGCGGUAAUACGGAGGGUGCAAGCGUUAUCCGGAUUCACUGGGUUUAAAGGGCGCGUAGGUGGGCAGUUAAGUCAGUGGUGAAAUCUCCGGGCUCAACCCGGAAACUGCCAUUGAUACUAUCUGUCUUGAAUAUCGUUGAGGUAAGCGGAAUAUGUCAUGUAGCGGUGAAAUGCUUAGAUAUGACAUAGAACACCAAUUGCGAAGGCAGCUUGCUAACCGAAUAUUGACACUGAGGCACGAAAGCGUGGGGAUCAAACAGGAUUAGAUACCCUGGUAGUCC
rnacentral:rRNA from 1 species